AUCCAAACAAGAGUUCUGAGCUCAUUCCUGAUUGUGAGAAAUCAACAUGAAGUUCUGUAUAGCAGCUCUGCUUAUAGCAGCUUGUCUGUUUGUGCCCUCUAUACGGGCAAAACCUGGGAUCUGCCCAAGAGAAGUGGAGGGCUUUAUGGAAAUGCGGCGUAGACCUCCAUGUCGCUAUGACUUUCAAUGCCCCGGAGAUGAAAAAUGCUGUUUUUAUGAACGUGGAUCCCUCUGC